rnacentral:rRNA from 1 species
GGAUUAGAUACCCUGGUAGUCCGCACGGUAAACGAUGGAUGCCCGCUGUUUGUCCUGAUGGACAAGCGGCCAAGCGAAAGCGUUAAGCAUCCCACCUGGGGAGUACGCCGGCAACGGUGAAACUCAAAGGAAUUGACGGGGGCCCGCACAAGCGGAGGAACAUGUGGUUUAAUUCGAUGAUACGCGAGGAACCUUACCCGGGCUUGAAUUGCAGAGGAAGGAUUUGGAGACAAUGACGCCCUUCGGGGUCUCUGUGAAGGUGCUGCAUGGUUGUCGUCAGCUCGUGCCG